CUUUGGAUCCCUUACUUCAGCUCUGAAGUCAAACUCUCAUCUGAGAGAACUGGAUGUGGGCAACAACAGACCUGAAGAUGAUGGAAUGGAGCUGCUGUCUACUGUUCUCCAUCAUCCAAACUGUAGACUGAAAACACUGAGGAUGGACAAAUGUGGAAUCACAGAGAAAAGUUGUGCUGCUCUGGCUUCAGCUCUCAGUUCCUGCAAUCUGACAAAUCUGGAUCUCAGUAUUAAUGAUCUGUAGGACUCAGGAGUGAAGAAGCUCUGUGUCGGACUGCAGAAUCCUUGCUGUAAACUAGAGAAGCUGAGGUUGUCCAACUGUAGUAUUACUCAUGAAGGUGUAAUCUCACUGACUGAAGCUCUGAAAUCAAAUCCUUCCCACCUUAAAGAACUCGAUCUGCUGGAGAAUGAUCUGGAAGAAUCAGACUUGAAAUUGACUGGUACUAU